rnacentral:lncRNA from 10 species
GAGGCAAAAUGUCCCUGAAGUGUUCUCUGGGGAACCUCCAGCACCUUGCACAGUGCCUGACACACAGCAGGGGCCUCAUAAAUGGCUGUUAAUAAGUGAUAAAACCCACCCAAGACUGCUUUUCUUGCUGCUUUUGAUAAAACUCAUAAGCGAACUCUGAGUGACAGCUGCUUUCUUUGCCUCGUCCUGCUCCCUGUAGCUACCUCUGUGCCUCCAUCCCACAGUUAGAUGCAACAUCCCUGAUUUCCAGGAUCAGCUUAGUUCAUGCCAUUGACCCUUGAUUUUUUUGGUCUAUUCCCAUGUUCACCAGGAAGAGAAGCAUGAGGUUACAUCUGUAAUCUCCCUGCAGCAGAGUCAACUGCAUAAGAAACCAAAAGACACACCUGCUCCAUGCCAGCUUCGAUAAUUUCUUUGUACCUUCGGCGAAAGAAGCCCAUCUGAAAGGCAGAAAGAAAGAGAAGCUGAGUUAGAAGUGCUGAAGAAUCAGCCAUUGUGACCCCAAGGCAGUCUGUCCCUGGCCUAAGCCACCACAUAAAAAGUCAGACCAUCUGCUGGAAGAACCACAUGGAGAGGCCCUGAGUCAACAUGGAGAGGAAGAAGGACUUGACUGAAUCCAGCCUUCCAGCUGUCCCUACCAAGGUGCCAGGCAUGAGAAUGAAGCUGUCUUGAACUCUGAAGACCAGCUUAGCCACCAGGUAAAUGCCACUAAGUGACCUCACUCAAUGUCAUGUGGGACGGAAGAAUCACCCCGCCAAACCCUUCCUGGAUCCCUGACCCAGAAAUUUGUCAGAUGUAAUGGUUGUGAAAAGCCAUUCAAUUUGGGGGCAGUUUGUAUGCAGCAUAGCUAGCUGGUAUGAUACAACAGCCUGCAAUUCAGGCAGCAGCAGCACUAACAACGAUGAAA